AUCCAGCUGACUAGUCCCAAAUAGGAAGAAAUGCGCGUCCUGGAU
rnacentral:hammerhead_ribozyme from 1 species